AAACCAAGCUUUGUCUGGUUUAAGUCAAGUCACCUUUAUUUAUAUAGCAUUUACCAGUAGAGAUUGUUUCAAGCAGCUUUA